CUAGGGGGUCAUCCCGACUUACCAACCCGAUGCAAACUACGAAUACCGAAGAAUGUUAUCACGGGAGACACACGGCGGGUGCUAACGUCCGUCGUGAAGAGGGAAACAACCCAGACCGCCAGCUAAGGUCCCAAAGUCAUGGUUAAGUGGGAAACGAUGUGGGAAGGCACAGACAGCCAGGAUGUUGGCUUAGAAGCAGCCAUCAUUUAAAGAAAGCGUAAUAGCUCACUGGUCGAGUCGGCCUGCGCGGAAGAUGUAACGGGGCUAAACCAUGCACCGAAGCUGCGGCAGCGACACUAUGUGUUGUUGGGUAGGGGAGCGUUCUGUAAGCCUGCGAAGGUGUGCUGUGAGGCAUGCUGGAGGUAUCAGAAGUGCGAAUGCUGACAUAAGUAACGAUAAAGCGGGUGAAAAGCCCGCUCGCCGGAAGACCAAGGGUUCCUGUCCAACGUUAAUCGGGGCAGGGUGAGUCGACCCCUAAGGCGAGGCCGAAAGGCGUAGUCGAUGGGAAACAGGUUAAUAUUCCUGUACUUGGUGUUACUGCGAAGGGGGGACGGAGAAGGCUAUGUUAGCCGGGCGACGGUUGUC
rnacentral:rRNA from 1 species